ACCUCGGGACUCUGGGACUGUCCGUUCUGCCGCUCCGGCAGCAACGAGCGGGUCCAGAGGAGGACUGACGCCGAGAGGAGCACCGGCAGGAGGCGCAGGGCGGACUGCCACAGAGGUCGGUGUGAGGGGUCACAAUCUGCUGUUUGUUUUAUUAAACACAGACACGGCCAGAGCGACACAUUAACCGAACCAACUCAACCAACGUAGGCGACCAGUCGGGCAGAGUUGGUGUUGGUGCACCAUCCCAUCAAACUCUCCGUCUGAAUUUACUGACCAAACAAUCAGCACAGACGUCAUGCUGGGAAACGACCACCAGUCCUGCCGGAUGAAUGUAAAGGACUUGAGCAUUUUGAAUGAAUCAGAGAAUUUCAGGACACUGUGAGCAGUAAUCAGUCCAGCCCUGAACGCUGCAGUCUGUCCACUUUCUGCUCUUCAUCGCUGACUGCAUCAGUGAUGAAGUUUCAUUUAUGUCAGAGAAGACCUGCUCAACCUAAACGACGAAUACUUCCUACAUAUUUCUGUAUUGAAGAAUGUCAUUCGGUGCCUCCUCUGGCAGAGACGUCGUGUUUCUCCUCAGACUGUUGUCUCGUCGUGUCGUCUGUGAUUGGCUUCUGUUUUGUCUGCGCGACUCUCCGGUUCUGCCUUUGACUUGAGCUUUACCGUCUUCACCUGCGGUUCCAUCAAACUUCCACUUCUUUCUGGCGUAGUAAGCCUUAAAGAUUUUCUCUUUUGAGGACUCGGCACCGGCAUGUUUAGGUCUGAAAUCGAGUAAGUUUAAUGGAAUCACCACAAUCAGUGCCAUCGCUUGAGGAGUGAAUGUCACUGGAAUCUAACUUUGGUCAGAAAUGGAGGAAGCUGCCAUAUAUUUUACAGUAUAUUUAUUCAGCCCUGUCACACAGGAGUCAGUGGUACAAGUUAAAUUAACAGUAAUAAUCCUCGGUGCUGAUCUCCUCCACAGUGUUUCACAUUUGCUGUUUUUCUUCCUGCUUCUCUGGGACUCGAGACCACACUGUUAUGUGCACCUGUUCAGCCUCGAUUCCACAUGGUUUUGUUUUGUGUCCAUAAUUAUGUGUGUGUGCCCUCUAGUGUACAACACGAGGAAAUGCAUGUGUUCACAGGGAAAUAGAAAAACCACCGCAGACAUGGGAGGAGCUAAUUGUCUCUUUCUUUAUCUGCAAAUCGAGGCAAAGACAGGACAAACAGGUUUCCCAAGGGGACGCUACUGAGAAGCUGGCUCACCAAGUCGCGGCCCAGGUUGCUGCUGCUGAUCGCGGGGUUGAAGAGGCCUCAGGUGACCCUCAUGAGGAGGAAAAGGAUGAAGCGCACAAAAGUAGCAAAGGCCACGUAAGCGAACCUGCAGCCGAAUGCCCCACUUCACCUGAGUCCUUGACGGAGAGGAUCUGCCCGGUAGAUAUGGAAGACAAAGAGAAGGAAGACCUGCGUGCUGGAUCUUUGGCCCAGCAACGAACUAAAAUCCAGAAACCACAAAACAGAGUGAAGCUAGAGGAUGAAGCACAGAGAUUGAGGCCUCCAGACUAAUCCGGAUUACACCAAGACCUGGACUACCAGUUUCACCCACUUUCUUCAGUUACACAUCAGUUUGGCUCAUUGGUUGUGCAUCAUUCCUUACCAAAGACAGACUGUUGGCAGAUCAAACCCAGCUGUUCCCGGGUUCUUGGUUCAAACUCUUUCAGGUUUCCCAGUCCUUCUGUUUGAGUGUCAGAAGAAUCCAAAGCAGCUGCUGAUUAAACUCGGGACGUCAACUCCUGCCUCACAUUCUUCUGUCAGAUGAAAAACUGAACACACAGUUCGAAGCUUAACGUGACAGACACACAGAAAUGUGACCAUUACAACAUUCAAGUCUUGAUUGUAUGAAAAUUUGCAAUGUCAAGAUUCAGAAACCAAAAAAUCUAAUUUGCUAAUCAAGGCACCGUUUGCAACAGAAACAAACAAAAAAAUUAGCUAAAUUCUGUAUGCUGUCGUUGUUGGACAUGCACCUGAGGAACAUGAAGUCUUUACCUGACAGAAUGAGACACAGAGUGGAGCUUCUAGUUUUUUGUCAAACUUCUGACUUUUUUUUAAAUUUCAUUUUAUUUUUCAUUCAAGCGGGUAAAAUAAGUUUUGGAACAAGACACUUGAUUUCCGUUGUGUUCGUCUGUGC